rnacentral:rRNA from 2 species
UGUGACCUCAAAUCAGGUAGGACUACCCGCUGAACUUAAGCAUAUCAAUAAGCGGAGGAAAAGAAACUAACAAGGAUUCCCCUAGUAACUGCGAGUGAAGCGGGAAAAGCUCAAAUUUAAAAUCUGGCAGUCUCUGGCUGUCCGAGUUGUAAUCUAGAGAAGUGUUAUCCGCGCUGGACCGUGUACAAGUCUCCUGGAAUGGAGCGUCAUAGAGGGUGAGAAUCCCGUCUUUGACACGGACUGCCAGGGCUUUGUGAUGCGCUCUCAAAGAGUCGAGUUGUUUGGGAAUGCAGCUCAAAAUGGGUGGUAAAUUCCAUCUAAAGCUAAAUAUUGGCGAGAGACCGAUAGCGAACAAGUACCGUGAGGGAAAGAUGAAAAGAACUUUGGAAAGAGAGUUAAACAGUACGUGAAAUUGCUGAAAGGGAAACGCUUGAAGUCAGUCGCGUUGGCCAGGGAUCAACCUUGCUUUUGCUUGGUGCACUUUCUGGUUGAUGGGUCAGCAUCAAUUUUGACCAUUGGAUAAAGGUCAAGGGAAUGUGGCAUCUUCGGAUGUGUUAUAGCCCUUAGCUGCAUACAAUGGUUGGGAUUGAGGAACUC